UACGGGAGGCAGCAGUGGGGAAUAUUGCACAAUGGGCGAAAGCCUGAUGCAGCUAUGCCGCGUGUAUGAAGAAGGCCUUAGGGUUGUAAAGUACUUUCAUCGGGGAGGAAAAACAAAACUAAUAAUUUUAUUUCUUGACGUUACCCGAAAAAGAAGCACCGGCUAACUCCGUGCCAGCAGCCGCGGUAAUACGGAGGGUGCUAGCGUUAAUCAGAAUUACUGGGCGUAAAGAGCACGUAGGUGGUUUUUUUAAGUCUAGAUGUGAAAUCCCUGGGCUUAACCUGGAACUGCAUUUUGAAACUGAAAUACUAGAGUAUCGUAGAGGGAGGUAGAAUUCUAGGUGUAGCGGUGAAAUGCGUAGAUAUCUGGAGGAAUACCUGUGGCGAAAGCGGCCUCCUAAACGAAUACUGACACUGAGGUGCGAAAAGCGUGGGGAGC
rnacentral:rRNA from 1 species